CAGUUAGUUUUUAACUGUGAUUCAGAUAAUUUAUAUAUCUCACAACAAAAGAGAAGAUCUAACAUCACUUUAGCGUCAUGGUUAGAAGCCAGUUUAUCAGUUUAUUAGGAACACAAACUUAGAACUACUGCAGUAUAUUUGAUGCAACAGGCCUUGCUCAUGUUAACUGCCACAGGAUGGAUACAAUAUUACGGUUCAACGACAUCAUAAGCUACAUCCUCAUAAAUCAUCAUGACUCCCAAAACCGCAGUGAAGCUUCGAAUUAUUAAAUUGCAGCUUUAUUGGUCUCAGCUACAUGAGCUUGUUUGUAGUUGUACAUGGCAACCGAGGGUUACAAGCCCUUCCUCUUGGUUUCGGUUCACGUUACGUAUUUGAUCGCCCCUCUUUCCUCGCAGGAACAACAACAGAUAGAUGCAGAUUAAAAAUAAAUUAACUCACCAAGCGGCUGCUUGAUGUGUCUCCACACCACCAAAACAAUCCGGAUGGCAAACAGCACACAGGCCAGGGCCAGAAGCACAACUGAGAGAAGAAAAUCUAGUUAGUCCUCAUACACUAGAGGUGCGACCGGAGUCUCUUAAUCUUCACUGCUGAUGAGGACGAAAUGUUGGCUCACUUCCAGAUGGAGAAAGGGCAGCAUGGCAAAGGUGGUGGGUGCAGGGUCGCCGUCACCUCUGGAGCUCAUAACAAGUUUACUCCUGUAGGUGUCAUAAGGUUACGAACAGAGUAAACAGAUCCUGAGGUUCUGGAUGGGUUUCAAGACACUGGGCUAGGACAACUUUUACUGAAUUAAAGGAUGUGUACACGUUUUCCACCCAUGCAUCUGCUCUUUCAUCCCUGUCCAUCAGCUGCUUUGACCCACAGUUGCUGUUUUUUUUUUAACCAAGAGAUCCGUUCGCAUCUUGAGCAGCCAGCUGCGA